UACGUAGGGGGCAAGCGUUGUCCGGAAUCAUUGGGCGUAAAGAGCGCGUAGGCGGCCCUGUAAGUCCGCUGUGAAAGUCAAGGGCUCAACCCUUGGAUGCCGGUGGAUACUGCAGGGCUAGAGUCCGGAAGAGGCGAGUGGAAUUCCUGGUGUAGCGGUGAAAUGCGCAGAUAUCAGGAAGAACACCAAUGGCGAAGGCAGCUCUCUGGGACGGUACUGACGCUGAGACGCGAAAGCGUGGGGAGCGAACAGG
rnacentral:rRNA from 1 species